rnacentral:rRNA from 1 species
UACAGAGGGGGCAAGCGUUGUUCGGAAUUACUGGGCGUAAAGGGCGCGUAGGCGGCCUUCUAAGUCGAACGUGAAAUCCCCGGGCUCAACCCGGGAACUGCGUCCGAUACUGGAAGGCUUGAAUCCGGGAGAGGGAUGCGGAAUUCCAGGUGUAGCGGUGAAAUGCGUAGAUAUCUGGAGGAACACCGGUGGCGAAGGCGGCAUCCUGGACCGAAACUGACGCUGAGGAGCGAAAGCCAGGGGAGCAAACGGG